GGUCAAAUGAAUUAAGGCAUAUGGUGGAGACCUAGGCACCUAAAGACGAUGAAGGGCGCAGAUACCGGCGAUACGCUUCGGGGAGCUGGCAACAAGCAUUGAUCCGGAGAUUCCCGAAUAGGGCAACCUCUUAGAACUGCCCAUUGAAUUCAUAGGUGGGCAAGAGGCAACUCAGCGAAUUGAAACAUCUUAGUAGCUGAAGGAAAAGAAAGCAAAAGCGAUUCCCAAAGUAGCGGCGAGCGGAAUGGGAACAGCCUAAACCCAUCCUUAGGAUGGGGGUCGUGGGAAAACAGUUAAAACGCACAAAAAAAAAACUUUUUAAAAGUUUUUUUCUUCUCUAGACGAAGCAGCUGAAUCCUGCACCAUAGAUGGUGAAAGUCCAGUAGUCAAAAGUGAAAAACAAAUCUGUUUUAUCCCGAGUAGCAUGGGGCACGUGGAAUCCCGUGUGAAUCAGCGAGGACCACCUCGUAAGGCUAAAUACUCUUAGGUGACCGAUAGCGAAAUAGUACAGUGAUGGAAAGUUGAAAGAGAACCCCCUUAAGGGGAGUGAAAUAGAACAUGAAACCGUAUGCUGACAAGCAGUGGGAGGGGAAAGUACCUGACCGCGUGCCUGUUGAAGAAUGAGCCGGCGACUUAUAGGAAAUGGCGGGUUAAGGAGAAAGAUCCGGAGCCCAAGCGAAAGCGAGUCUGAAUAGGGCAUGAUGUCAUUUCUUAUGGACCCGAACCUGGAUGAUCUAACCAUGGCCAGGAUGAAGCUUGGGUAACACCAAUUGGAGGUCCGAACCGACCGAUGUUGAAAAAUCGGCGGAUGAGUUGUGGUUAGGGGAGAAAUUCCAAUCGAAUUCAGAGCUAGCUGGUUCUCCCCGAAAUGCGUUGAGGCGCAGCGGUAACGAUGAGCUGUCUAGGGGUAGAGCACUGUUUCGAUACGGGCUGCGAAAGCGGUACCAAGUCGUGGCAAACUCCGAAUACUAGGCAUAGCCUUCCGUAAACCAGUGAGACUGUGGGGGAUAAGCUUCAUAGUCAAGAGGGAAACAGCCCAGAUCACCAGCUAAGGCCCCUAAAUGACCGCUAAGUGGAAAAGGAUGUGAGAAUGCUGAAACAACCAGGAGGUUUGCUUAGAAGCAGCCACCCUUUAAAGAGUGCGUAAUAGCUCACUGGUAAAGCGUUCUUGCGCCGAUAAUGGCCGGGACUAAGCGGUCUGCCGAAGCUGUGGGAUUUUUUUAAUGAAAAGAAUCGGUAGGGGAGCGUUCUACAUUGGGUGAAGCGAUCACGUAAGUGUUCGUGGACAGUGUGGAAGUGAGAAUGUCGGCUUGAGUAACGAAAACAUUGGUGAGAAUCCAAUGCCCCGAAAACCUAAGGGUUCCUCCACAAGGUUCGUCCAUGGGGGGUGAGUCAGGACCUAAGGCGAGGCCGAACGGCGUAGUCGAUGGCAAACAGGUUAAUAUUCCUGUACUCAUUGUUGUGGGGACCGAGGGACGAAGAAGGCUAAAUUGUAGCUGUGCAUGGAAUGCAGUGGAAGCGUUCAAGACGUUGAUAGGUAGAAUAAAAACUACUCUAGAGUUAAGGCGUGAUCCCAUUCUCCGGAACUUGUUCCGGAUGGAUGUCAAUGAUGUCAUACUUCCAAGAAAAGCUCGCACACUAUUCGCGUAAGCGAAUAACACAACAAUGACCUGUACCAUAAACCGACACAGGUAGGUAGGUAGAGAAUACUAAGGGGCGCGAGAGAACUCUCUCUAAGGAACUCGGCAAACUGGCCCCGUAACUUCGGAAGAAGGGGCGCCUGAUAACAUCAGGUCGCAGUGACCAGGCCCAGGCGACUGUUUACCAAAAACACAGGUCUCCGCAAAGUCGUAAGACAAUAUAUGGGGGCUGACGCCUGCCCAGUGCCGGAAGGUGAAGGAAGUUGGUUAUUUUGUUUUACAAGAGAAGCUGACGACCGAAGCCCCGGUGAACGGCGGCUGUAACUAUGACAGUCCUAAGGUAGCGAAAUUCAUUGUCGAGUAAGUUUCGACCUGCACGAAAGGCGUAACGAUCUGGGCGCUGUCUCAGAGAGAGACUCGGUGAAAUAGACUUGUCCGUGAAGAUGCGGACUACUAACAUUUGGACAGAAAGACCCUAUGAAGCUUGACUGUAUUCUGGAAUGGAAUUCGGGCUUUUCUUGCGCAGUCUAGGUGGGAGGCGUUGAAGAUUUCCUUCCGGGGAAAUUGGAGCCAUCAGUGAGAGACCACUCUGGGAAGGCUAGAAUUCUAAUGGCGAUCCUUGAAUCAGGACGCUUGACAGUUUCAGAUGGGCAGUUUUUCUGGGGCGGAAACCUCCUAAAAGGUAACGGAGGUGCGCAAUGGUUCCCUCAGUCUGGACGGAAAUCAGACAUUGAGUGUAAAGGCAAAAGGGAGCUUGACUGUGAGACCUACAAGUCAAACAGGGGCGAAAGCCGGCCUUAGUGAUCCGACGGUGCUGUGUGGAAAGGCCGUCGCUCAACGGAUAAAAGUUACUCUAGGGAUAACAGGCUAAUCUUCUCCAAGAGUUCACAUCGACGAGAAGGUUUGGCACCUCGAUGUCGGCUCAUCACAUCCUGGGGCUGUAGUAGGUCCCAAGGGUUGGGCUGUUCGCCCAUUAAAGUGGUACGUGAGCUGGGUUCAGAACGUCGUGAGACAGUUCGGUCCAUAUCCGAUGUUAGCGCUAGAAUAUUGAGGUCAGUCACUCAUAGUACGAGAGGACCUGUAGUGAUCAUGCCUAUGGUCUAUCAGUUCUUUUUCCAAAAGGAAACGCUGAGUAGCUACGCAUGGAGUGCAUAACCGCUGAAAGCAUCUAAGUGGGAAGGCCAGACCAAGAUGAGUAUUCUCCAUUAAGCCGCAGCAAGACAAGCUGUAGAUAGGUAUCAGGUGUAAGAUCAGCAAUGGUUUGAGCCGAGAUAUACUAAAGGCAGACUGAUUUUGACCUU
rfam:Monoraphidium neglectum strain SAG 48.87 chloroplast CP, complete sequence, whole genome shotgun sequence.